GACUUCGUGGUGUAGUGAUCAGCACACUCGACGCGUGACCGAGAGGUCCGUGGUUCGAUUCAAGGCGAAGGCA
rfam:Stegodyphus mimosarum contig79301, whole genome shotgun sequence.